rnacentral:rRNA from 1 species
GUGCCAGCCGCCGCGGUAAUACAGAGGGUGCGAGCGUUAAUCGGAAUUACUGGGCGUAAAGCGCACGUAGGCGGCUUUGCAAGUCGGGUGUGAAAUCCCCGGGCUCAACCUGGGAACUGCAUCCGAGACUGCUUUGCUCGAGUAUGGGAGAGGGAAGUGGAAUUUCCGGUGUAGCGGUGAAAUGCGUAGAUAUCGGAAGGAACAUCAGUGGCGAAGGCGACUUCCUGGACCAAUACUGACGCUCAGGUGCGAAAGCGUGGGGAGCAAACAGGAUUAGAUACCCUUGUAGUCC